rnacentral:rRNA from 1 species
GGACCAGAACUCCUACGGGAGGCAGCAGUGAGGAAUAUGACAAUGGUUAGCGCUGAUCCAGCAUCCGCGUGAAGACGACGCCCUAUGGGUGUAAACUUCUUUGUAUAGGGAUAAACCUUUCCCACGUGUGGGAAGCUGAAGGUACUAUACGAAUAAGCACCGGCUAACUCCGUGCCAGCAGCCGCGGUAAUACGGAGGGUGCAAGCGUUAUCCGGAUUUAUUGGGUUUAAAGGGUCCGUAGGCGGAUCUGUAAGUCAGUGGUGAAAUCUCACAGCUUAACUGUGAAACUGCCAUUGAUACUGCAGGUCUUGAGUGAGGUAGAAGUAGCUGGAAUAAGUAGUGUAGCGGUGAAAUGCAUAGAUAUUACUUAGAACACCAAUUGCGAAGGCAGGUUACUAUGUCUUAACUGACGCUGAUGGACGAAAGCGUGGGGAGCGAACAGGAUUAGAUACCCUGGUAGUCCACGCCGUAAACGAUGCUAACUCGUUUUUGGGUCUUUAAGAUUCAGAGACUAAGCGAAAGUGAUAAGUUAGCCACCUGGGGAGUACGAACGCAAGUUUGAAACUCAAAGGAAUUGACGGGGGCCCGCACAAGCGGUGGAUUAUGUGGUUUAAUUCGAUGAUACGCGAGGAACCUUACCAAGGCUUAAAUGGGAAUUGAUCGGUUUAGAAAUAGACCUUCCUUCGGGCAAUUUUCAAGGUGCUGCAUGGUUGUCGUCAGCUCGUGCCGUGAGGUGUUAGGUUAAGUCCUGCAACGAGCGCAACCCCUGUCACUAGUUGCCAUCAUUCAGUUGGGGACUCUAGUGAGACUGCCUACGCAAGUAGAGAGGAAGGUGGGGAUGACGUCAAAUCAUCACGGCCCUUACGCCUUGGGCCACACACGUAAUACAAUGGCCGGUACAGAGGGCAGCUACCUAGCGAUAGGAUGCAAAUCUCGAAAGCCGGUCUCAGUUCGGAUUGGAGUCUGCAACUCGACUCUAUGAAGCUGGAAUCGCUAGUAAUCGCGCAUCAGCCAUGGCGCGGUGAAUACGUUCCCGGGCCUUGUACACACCGCCCGUCAAGCCAUGGAAGUCUGGGGUACCUGAAGUCGGUGACCGUAACAGGAGCUGGCCCUUAGGGGA